UGCAGUUAUUAAUGUCACCCUGCCUGAUGAAAAGCAGAAUUAUGUGCACCGGAUUGGCAGAGUGGGGCGAGCUGAAAGGUACUGCUCAAGUUCUUCCCCUUUUAGCUUCUAUGUUUCAGAAAUAAGGUCUAAUACUGGCUUUGAAAUCUUUCAGGAUGGGCCUGGCUAUUUCCCUGGUGGCAACAGAGAAAGAAAAGGUUUGGUAUCACGUAUGCAGCAACCGUGGGAAGGGAUGCUAUAACACUAGACUCAAGGAAGAUGGCGGCUGUACUAUCUGGUACAAUGAAAUGCAGCUACUUUCUGAGAUAGAAGAACACCUGAACUGUACCAUUUCCCAGGUUGAGCCAGAUAUAAAGGUUCCAGUGGAUGAGUUUGAUGGGAAAGU
rnacentral:lncRNA from 1 species